rnacentral:rRNA from 1 species
GAUGAACGCUGGCGGCGUGCCUAAUACAUGCAAGUCGAGCGAACAGACGAGGAGCUUGCUCCUCUGACGUUAGCGGCGGACGGGUGAGUAACACGUGGAUAACCUACCUAUAAGACUGGGAUAACUUCGGGAAACCGGAGCUAAUACCGGAUAAUAUAUUGAACCGCAUGGUUCAAUAGUGAAAGACGGUUUUGCUGUCACUUAUAGAUGGAUCCGCGCCGCAUUAGCUAGUUGGUAAGGUAACGGCUUACCAAGGCAACGAUGCGUAGCCGACCUGAGAGGGUGAUCGGCCACACUGGAACUGAGACACGGUCCAGACUCCUACGGGGGGCAGCAGUAGGAAAUCUUCCGCAAUGGGCGAAAGCUUGACGGAGCAACGCCGCGUGAGUGAUGAAGGUCUUCGGAUCGUAAAACUCUGUUAUUAGGGAAGAACAAAUGUGUAAGUAACUAUGCACGUCUUGACGGUACCUAAUCAGAAAGCCCCGGCUAACUACG